CUCCUUCCCUCCCAAACCUUCUGAGGGAGUAAUUUUUGUUCAACAUCGGCUUGAGCCCCCAGGAUCCUGCGAGUAUUCCAUCUUUUCUUUUCUCUUCUUUUCUUCCGUCCUUCUUCUUUUUCUUGCUUUCUCUCCCCCCAUCUUUCCUUCUCUCUCUCUUUUUUUCUUUUUCUCUUUUUUUUUUACGUGUCAUUUCUUCCUUUUUCACCCCACUACUGAUUUUCGAUUUUUUUUUUAAGGAA
rnacentral:lncRNA from 1 species